GAUCCAGGAUUAUUGACAGGGAGAAAGAAACACUGGGCACUUAAUGAGAUGCGGGAGGGGCGGGGGCUCCCUUGUGACGUGUGCAUAAAUAAACAGGAGGAGGGGGUUACGGAGAAACUAACAAUGAUCCCUUUUGGAGAGAGCAGGAGGGGGGAGGGGUGCGCGACGAAGGCAGGCCGGCCAGCAGGCAGGGGCGAAGAGGCGAACGGAGACAAUGCAGAUAUAGGCGAGGAGGCGAACCUGUCAGUUCUAACCCAGCGGGCCAAAGCGAACAAAACUCGGGUGCAUCAAACAAAUUAGGGAAGGGGCAAGGCAUGCGCUCCAGUAGUGCGGUUUGCACAACUGUCAAGGCAUGAAAGCCUCUCUCCGUGCCUUCGAGCUCGCACUUGGUUGCGCACUCAACUUUCCGGCGCGGUGUAGUGAAAUUUUAGAGUUGCAUCCGAUGCACUUUUACCAGGAAGUGAUUUCGCUCCUCUGGGACUUCUUUCCGAAUAAACACGCACGGGCUUGUGCUCCGUUUUCCAUCUGCUUCCCGCCAUCAGAAAAACUCCAACCGAAGCCCAGAAUGGUUCUUCAGAAGAAACACUACUGCGUGUACAUUAUGAACAAUAACUGCUACAGGACAGCAUUUUUUCCUGAUCAACAACAUUUUCCUAAUAAGCUUAUUAAAAAAAGAAAAGAUUGAAAAAUAUUUUAUGGAAUUAUGAAUUCUAGCCAAGAAAAUGAAGUCUUUUAUUAUUUGAAAUAUUUGAAUUUUUCAAAAGCUGGAGGUUUAGAUCCAGCCACCAAAGAAGUGAACAUGUCGAAAUUCAUAAGAACAGGUACCAAUGGUCAAAUAAGCAGUAAUAAUUUAGAACAAUCUCCAAUCACAGAAACAUGCUGAUCAUCAAUUAUCCCAUGAGAUUCCAAUGACAUAUUAAGAUGAUUCCCCUAAAAAAAAA